AAGUCGUAACAAGGUUUCCGUAGGUGAACCUGCGGAAGGAUCAUUAACAAAUUGAAUCCAAUUUUGCAACCGUGUUUUGUAUUUUGUCCUCUGGUAAGAUUAGUACUAGUUGAGAGUCCCCCUCCCCCUCCUCCUGUCGGUCUUGUCUUAGACGAGACGAGAGAAGGAAGGAGAAGAGGACACAAUAUUAUUACUGCUUACCAGCUAUUUUAAAUCCAUAAUUAACAAUCUGAUCUUUUAAAAUUCUCUUCAGAGAGAGAGAGUACACUAAUUAGUGUGCAAUCAUCUUGGAGAAAUUAACUUUGAUACAACUGUUAACAACGGAUCACUCGGUUCUCA
rnacentral:misc_RNA from 1 species